GGCGUUACGUCAUUUGAGAAAACAUCGAUUAAAGUUACGUCACAAAAAAAAAUGGUGGACGUUACCACGUGUUCGCGGCAAUUUAUGCAUUUCUUGUUUCCAAUAAUACUCUACCUUGCCACAAGAAAAAAAUGAAGUGACAUUUAUAAACAUUUCCGUGUUUUGCAAUUCCGUUUCUUUAAAACAUUUAAAUGAUUGAUAAUUUAUCGCCCUUUGAAUCGACACGCCAUUUGUAAACAUCGAAGGUCGCGGAGAAAAUGAAACUACCAAAAACGGUUAUUUGAUGAUUUAUUUCGAUUGUAUAAAGAAUGACAGUUAGCGAAUCUCUAGAUCAACCACUGAGGAUUGUUUGGCUUGAUGCAAUGACCUUAAACAGUGAAAUGAUUUUCCAGGAAGGUCUAUGCACAACAAGCUGGAUUUUAUGGGGAGAUGAAAGAACUAUGAAUAUGUAAAUGGGAAUGAAACAGAAGGAAUUAAUAUGUUCUACUGAUCAUCCAGCUGAAGUCAUGCCUGUGGAAUAGAGUGCAUGUCACAAAUACUGAUAUGAGCAAAUAACUCCAUAUACCACAAAUAAUGUCAUGUUUCCUGCCCUCAUGACCUGAAAAA